UGCAGAGACUGGAGGUGGUGCUAGAGAGGGGAGCAGGGGCCCUCCCCGGAGAGAAGGCCGUCAGGGCCAGAUUCCAGGAGAUGCUGAGGUGAGGGACCAGAGCAAAGAGAGGGGAUACCUCAUCAUAUCAGCCAUAUGCUCCAAAGGACAGUACUCUUUUUCUUCCAAUUAAUGAAAUUAGGAAGUAACUGGAAAAAAAAUUAAGGGAAGUAGAUGGAGAAAAGAUUAAUUUCGAAAAAUAGAAGGCAGUUAGCCUCUGAGCUCAGUUCCAGUCCCAGAGGGCAGGGAGCAUUAGCUGAGCACCAGGGAAAAAACCCAGGCAGGCAGGACAUGAAGCUGCUCUGGGUUCUGCUCCUUCUUGUCACCCAAGGGCACUGUUUGUCAUCCCUACCAAGGAGAUGGAGAGACAGAUGAUGGAUCAAUAGAUGCAUGGAUGGAUGAAAGAAUAAAUGGAUGCAUGGAUGGAUGGAUGGAUAUAUAGAUAGAUGAAUGAUAAGCACAUCCAUGCACAAAUAUAUAUAUAUAUAUAUGCAUGAAUUCCUGAGGAACGUUGAAGGAGCACAGAUGCUCAGCCUCCACCAGAGACCUACUCAGUCAAGGUGGGGUUCAGGCUUCAGGAACAUUUAAAACCCUGCACAACUGGUCUUGACUUAUAGCUAUAGGAGGAAUCUUCUCUUCUAAAGAGCUCAGACUAGAGGGAGGAAGAAAGACAGCAGAAACAGUGUGUGACAGGCUCUCUGGAGAGUUGCUCAACCCCACUCAUCAGGCUGCCAAAGACUGCUCUGAAUGACCAAAGACUAGACCACGAUCUGGUGUCAUAACACAACAAUGAAGAGAGGGACAAAGUCCUCUGGUGGCACCAGUAAAGACCAAGUGGCUACAAACUGGAAACACGUAGAAGAGACACUGAGUCAAAACUGGAGAGAUGAAUAUAAAGAUUUGAUUCCUUCAAGCAGAGAAGAGAGAACAUAUCCAGGCAGAGGGAUCAGCUUGUGCAAAGGUAUUGUGAUUCAGAGGAGAAAGGUGAGCAGUACCAGAUCCAACAGAUUUUCCCAAAACUGUGCCAAGACCCACAAUGGCAAGUCAUACCUUGCUUCCGUCUACCAGGGCCUCACCAGCAGUCAGCCCGUGAUCAACCCCGGCAGCAGGACAUGGACCCUGGCCUCCUCUGUAGCAGCUAAGAAUCUUCCUGUAUGGAUGUUUCUGGUGCCUCCUUUCCUUGGGACCCUGCAGUGGCUCUGCCAAGGAUAAUGGACUCUUAAUCAGCAGGACUCUGGCCUCCUCUGUAGCAGCCCAGAAAGGAAAGGAUAUGUCCUCUUUCCAUCCUCAGUCUUCAGGGGUACCUGUUUUCUCACCUGUGUGGAUAUUCUGGUACCUCCUUUCCUUGGGUCCCUGCAGUGAUUCUGCCAAAGAUAAUGGCCUCUUAUAUCAUUUAGGACUCUGGCCAAUGAUGGAUAUUACAGUUCCAGACCAACCAGGAACCAUAAAACCAGAAUUAAACCCAAAGCUUUCAAGUGUUCCAAGGACAAAGACCCUUGAUGGGCCAGGUGUACACAGGUCUAUCCAUUGCUGCUGAUUCAGUGCCUCCUAGAAUAUGAAUCACCUGAAUGUAAGAUUGUAUACAAGGUUGGACCAUCCCUGACUCAAAUUCCAUCUGUUUGCUCUGUACAUUUCCUAUUAAAUCUAUGGCUUUUCUGGCCUCUUGAGAUUA